GGGAGUGCAAUGCAACUCAAUAUACCAUUAAAAGGGGCUCUACAAGUCUUUGAAAUAGAGGAAAUGAAAUCAAUUUACAAAAGAAGUCAUUUCACAAUUCGAAAUCAAUUUAAUUAUUCAUCUACCCCUCGUAAUUACUCUCAUUGUUCCCUCAAAUGCAUAUACAGAAUAAUCAAGCAUGGAGAACAAAACAUAGAGAAAUCUACCACAACAAUUAAUCAAUAAACUUAGGUGGAAUCAAAUCACACUUAGCAACAUUCAUAAAAAUGAAUAAGGAAUGUGCUCAUGGUGCAAAGUACAAACUCCCACUCACCUGUCAAUCCGGCACAGCCCUGAUACGCCUCCAAAAAUCUACAGCAGGCAGUGAGGAACUUCUUCCUCUUGUUCCCUAGCUUUUAGCCCAACUGAUACAUGCAUUUACAAUACAUUUAGUUUUGUAUAAAGGGCCAUAAUCUACGUGCCAAUCAUAAAUAUAGGAAACUUUAAUUGAUUCAACUCUCUCUUUUUUAAAUCCUUUCCUUUUUCCCUUUUUUUCUUUUUUCCUAUCAAUUAAUCUUCCUCUUAUAUGUAUUAUGAUGCAAAAGCAUCACACACACACCUUAGGUCACUGUCAUAGGGUCAAGGUGCGAGAAAGAGUCAAAAUCCUCCUUCAAUAAAAAUUUCACUGAAGCGUGAGUCGACCCCAACCUCAAGAGUCGACCCCGACCACAGAGCCGUAAAACUUCAUUUUCUGGACUCUCAGAGAGAGUCGACCCCUAAUCUGCCCCGAGUCGAUUCCAGUUGACCUUGAGUCAACUCCGGCAUGUUUUGAAGCGACUCCCACCAUUUUCUCACUUUUUUUCAUCUCGGAUGAACAGUAACCCGGACUGACAGUGGGUCACUUAAUUCCGAUUUUGAUCUACUUUUCGAACUCCAAAUUUUAUGAAAUUUUUACCUAACAUUCUACACUCAUAGAGAGGAUUCCAAAGAGGUAUCAUGCAUUACUAUCGGAGGCCGUUUGACCCCCAAAAUAAUUCGCUGAAGUUGGGACUUCGACACAGUUUUUCCGUAGUGCCGGAAAAACUUGUCGAAAUCCAAUUCUUCAUCUUUUAACCACCUCUACAACCCUUAUCCGACCCCUCUAGACUACAUCCAUCCUUUGUAUAGCCUAAUUUUAUAAAAAAAACUAGGUAGGGAUGGGUAUUUACCUUUUUCUCUUCGGAGGAUUGGGUUUUUGCACCGAGGGAAAGGAGACCGAUCCUUCCCUUUUUGUUUCAGCCGACACACAACCGAGAUCCCCCCUUCCCUUCUCUUCUUUUUUCUUUCGGACUCUCCCUCUCCUUCUCUUCUUCUCUCUUUUUCUUUUUUUUACUUCUCUUCUUCUCUCUUUUUCCUUCUUCUUUUCCUUCCUUUCUUUUCUCUCUGUGACUCUCCUUCUCUGUGAAAAAACCCACCGCCUGAGACUCCUCUCCCUCUUUGCCUCAAAUCCAACGUCUGAGCCAAACCCAUGAAUUAAGUCACAUCACAAUGCUAUAUUUUUCGUUUUGCCCCUAACACUUCAACAUAUCUACUGUUAUGCCAUUAACUUUUGAUUUCUUUCCAAUUUUACCCUUACCACUUGAACGCAUCUGCAACUAUGCCAUUAUCUUUUGAUUCCUUCCAAUUUUACCCGUUAUAUCAAUUUUAAAGCACUAUUCUAUUCCUUUUUAUAUAAAAAAAAAUUUGGGGUUAUUACAUGCGUGCACGCUCUUUUUCGAGGCGUCGCUGGAUGGAACGCGAGGGGUCAAUCAUUAAUGCCCUGUUCUCCGAAGCGGCUCUUAUGACCGUUUUGGUCUUUAAUGUUACGAUCCAUAAAGAUCCACUGGGAGAGCUUCUAGAGCUGCCAUGCGGCAAGACCUGGCUAUGCGGCUGCCCAGGUUAGCCAAUCAGGGGUUGGGAUAGGAUAUAUAAGGUCUUGGGGAGACCCUAGGGCCCUCAUUUGGUUUCUCUUGCUUCCAUCCUUCUUUUUUCCGGCUGUCAUCUUCGUUAUGAGAAGUUGCAGGGAUGAUUUUCAGCAAUAAUACCUCGAUGGCCCGACACAAUAAAGGGGUGGUUGCGUCGGAUGGAGCUCGGUCUGAGGAGAGGUUGAAGAAUCUCAUCACUGGCAUCACCAAGGGGUUCCACUAUAAGAUACGCUUCGUCUUGGCUCGCCAACGCCAGGGUGAGUGAUGUCUGGAGUAAGCGAGCUUGCCGAGGCACACGAGCUCGUCGCCAAGGUGAUAGUCUGGGGAUGCUGCGGGGGCCGCCACUAAGGUUGGGUCAGAAGCUGCUCAAGCUGACAAUUCUUUUCAACUUGUUUUCUUUAUCCUUUUGCUCUUGCUAGAUCGAUCACUUAGGCCUUUUUGUAUUCAGCCCGAUCUUAAGGUCGACUCGUUUUGUACUCGGCCCUUGGCCUUUCAAUAUUAAUAAAGUGCAUUUUCUUCAACACUUUGCAUUUUGAAAUCUGACAAAGUAUUUGAACUUAUCUUGCUUGGAGCUUUGUAUUCAGCUAACAAGGUCCGAACUGCAUAGUUUGGGUACUGGCUUAGCCUUCAUACUGCCAGAUAACUUUGGCCAAGUCGCUGUGCUCGGCCCUUGCUCCCAACUUCGCAAAGUUGGCGAAGAGCUCGCUGCUCCCAAGCUUGUCCGCUGGGGCACUUUAGGCACCCAGGUCGAGCAUUAGGUCUGCUUUGGACCUCUUUGCGAGAACUGAGCUCGUGAUCCUCUUUUCGCACUGUAGUGUGCUGGGAGACCUUUUAGGUAAAAGGUCGUCAUGAGCUUUGGCGCCUUCUUGCGUUGUAGAUCUUUGUAAACUUUAACUGGGGCGCUUGAUUUAAGCUCGGGUUGCUCUUAAAUUUUUUCCGAAGCCGAGGUCAAGAGAGCCUUUUUGGCUCUUGGUCAACGCUGCAGGGCGCCCCCGCUCAGAUCGGUGCGUCAUUAUAAAUACUGGCGGUCGACGAGACCUCUUCGGCUCUUGGUUGACAUUGCAGGGCGCCCCUACUCAGAUCGGGGCGUCAUUAUAGAUACAUGCAGUCGACGGAGCCUCUUCGGCUCUUGGUCGAUCCUGCAGGGCGCCUCGAGCUCAGCUCGAGGGGCGUCAUUGUAGGUACCUACGGUCGAUAGGGCCUCUUCGGCUCUUGGUCGAUCCCGCAUGGCGCCUUUCGAGCCUGAUCCUGCAAGGCGCCCUGAGCCCGGCUCGAUGGGCGUCAUUGUAGAUACCUGCGGUCGACGGGGCCUUUACGGCUGUCGGUCGAUCUUGCAGGGCGCCCCGAGCCCGGCUCGAGGGAUGUCAUUGUAGAUACCUGCGGUCGACGGAGCCUCCACAGCUUGAAGGGUGAUUCUGCAGGGUGCUCCGAGCCCGUCUCGAGGGGCGUCAUUGUAGAUACUUGCGGUCGACGGAGCCUCUUCGGCUCGAGGAGCUAUCCUGCAGAGCGCCCCGAGCCCGGCUCGAGGGGCGUCAUUGUAGAUACCUGCGGUCAGCAAGGCCUCUUCGGCUCUCGGUCGUUCCUGCAGGGCGCCUCGAGCCCGGCUUGAGGGGCGUUAUUGUAGAUACCUGCGGUCGACAUGGCCUCUUCGACUCUCGGUCGAUCUUGCAAGGCGCUUCGAGUUCGGGCCCGGGACGUCAUUAUAUUGUGGUCGUGGGCUCGUGUCGUGAGAAUGACCAAGAUAUGCCGAUUCAGACACGACAUUCCAGAGAUACUUCAAAAAAAUCCUCAAAGGCUGUUUUCAUUGAUAAUAUCUUCUAAGAUUUGCAGAAUUCCAGCUUCUAGGAACUAAAGUACCGUCUAGGGAUUCCAGCUUGUAAGCUCCAAGUCGCUGGACCCGGACGACUCGGUAUGGUCCUUCCAGUUCGGGGCGAGCUUUUCUUGCUUUAGAGGUCGGGGGAGGCUUCAGCCUUCCUCAAGACGAGGUCCGGAUCUGGAAAGAUUUGACUUUAAUUCUGGAGUUGUAGUAUUACGCUGCUUUUCCCUGGCAUCUCGCCAUCCGAAUUUGAGCUGCCUCCCUUGUUUCUUCAAGUAGGUCGAGGUUACUCCGAAGCCGUGCCGAGUUGGUUAUGGCAUCAAAGCCUUCAACCUGGGGCGAGGGUAACCCGACCUCAAGGGGAAUGACCACCUCUGUGCCAUAAGAUAGGUGGAGGGGGUCUCUCCAGUGGAAACUCGGAAGGUCGUUUGAUAUGCCCACAAGACAUUGUAGAGAUUAUCGACCCAUUGCCCUUUUGCUCGGUCCAGUCUGGCUUUGAGCCCUUGCAAGAUUGUGUGGUUGGUCCCUUCUGCUUUUUCGUUGGUUUAGGGAUGAGCCACUGAUGUGAAGCGAUGGUCAAUACCAAGCUCGGAGCAGAAUUUCUUGAACCAAGCAUUAUCAAAUGGGCGGCCAUUGUUGAAUAUGAUAACUUGGGGAAGCCCAAACCGGCAGAUUAUCAUCCUCCAGACGAAGCUCUGCACCUUCGGUUUGGUGAUUUGGGCUGCAGGUUCUGCCUCGACCUACUUUGUGAAGUAGUCGACAAUGACGAUAAAAAAUUUUCUGUCCUAUAGCUGGAGGGAAGGGCCCCAAUAUAUAAAUUUUCUAUUGUGCAAAUGGCCAGGGGGCACUGAUCGGCGUCAAUGGGACCGAAGGUCUGCAUUGGACAUUGGUGUGGCGUUGGCACCGGUCACAUCUUCAGACGAAGUCCGCCAUAUCCUUUUGCAGUAUGGGCCAGUAGUAUCCUUGCCGCAGAAUCUUAUGCGUUAGGGCUCUACUCUCUUGAUGACUUCCGCAGAUUCCUUCAUGUACCUCUUGCAUCGCAUAGUCCGCCUCUGAAGGGCGGAGGCAUCUGAGGAGUAGCGAUAUGAAUGAUCAGCGGUACAGCUUGCUCCCGUACAUGAGGUACCGAGUGGCUUGACGUUCAAGACGUCGAGCUUCAAGCUUGUCCGUAGAAAGAACUCCGUGUUGUAAGAAGUCGAUGAAUGAGUCCAUCCAGCUCGGCUCGGUUUCUGUGCACAGUACCAGUUCAGGGUCUCCUGUGCUCGGUGCCUUCAAGCACUCGAGGAAGGUGCUUUUUGGGAGUUCGGCCGAGCUAGACAUUGCUAACUUCGACAGCAGGUCGGCUCUUGCAUUCUCCAUCUUGGGGAUAUGCUGGAUGUCGAAGUUGCUCAUAGUUGAAGUGAUGUCCUGUACCUUUUGGAGGUACUUCAUCAUUGAUGGCUUUCGAGCUUAGAAAUCUUUCAAGAUCUGGCUCACCACGAGCUGGCAGUCGUCGAAGACCUUCAGACGGGGGACAUUAAGCUCCUUGGCUAAUUUCAGCCCGGCAAUUAGCACUUCAUACUCUACCUCGUUGUUGGAAGUGAGGAACUCGAAGCGCAGGGCUUGCUUUGCCACCACUCCAUUCGGGCUGGUAGAAUGAGGCCUGCGCCGCUGCCCUCCAAGGUCGAAGAGCCAUCUACAUUUAGAAUCCAGGGUUGUUUGGGGACACCUUUUUCUUCCUCCAGACUGAGCUCGGUUUGAGGGUCGUCCAGCAGAGUAGACUCCACUAGGAAGUUAGCCAGCAUCUGUGCUUUGAUCGCCGGCCUCGGGCGAUACCCGAUGUCAAAUUCUCCAAGUUCAACUGUCCAUUUUGCGAUCUUUUCGGCCCAGUCGAAUCGUUGCAAGAUUUGUUUUAUGGGCUGGUCGGUUAGCACUGCUAUGGUAUACGCCUGAAAGUAAGGUCGAAGCCUGUAAGCCGAGGUGACGAGUGCGUAGAUUAUUUUCUUCAGCUUGGAAUAUCUGGUCUCUGCAUCUCGCAGGAUUUGGCUGGUGUAGUAGACAGGCCUCUGGCAUCUUUCUUCUUCUCUGACCAGUACCGAACUUAUGGCCGUCGGGGAAGCCGCGAGGUACAGGUAGAGAAGUUCUCCGCACUGGGGCUUUGUAAGCAGCGGAGAAGAGGCAAGAUAGCGCUUGAGCUCGUCAAAAGCUCAUUGGCACUCGGACCACACAAAAUCCUUCAGCCUCUUGAGAACCUUGAAGAAGGGGAGGCAUCGUUCCGUUGAUUUGGCACAAAUCUUCUGAGGGCAGCUACCCGUCCAGCGAGCCGCUACACCUCUUUGACUGUCUUUGGCGGUGUCAUAUUUUGCAACGCCUGAGUCUUCUCGGGGUUUGCUUCAAUCCCUCGUUGUGUCACAACGAAGCCAAGGAACUUUUCAGAAGUGAUUCCAAAGGCGCACUUCGUGGGGUUGAGCUUCAUUUGGUACCUCUGGAGGGUGGAGAAUGCCUCGUUCAGGUCGGCGAUGUGCUGCUCGGCCGCCUGGCUCUUCGCUAGUAUGUCAUCCACGUAGAACUUCAUAUUCCGCCCGAUCUGAUUCUUGAAGAUCUUACUGACAAGCCGCUGAUAGGUUGCCUCGGCAUUCUUUAACCCGAAAGGCAUGAUGUUAUAGCAAUGGAGGCCCUUGUUAGUAAUGAAGGCGGUCUUCUCGUCUUUUGGUGCCAUCUGAAUUUGGUUGUACCCCGAAAAGACAUCCAUAAAGGUCAGGAGUUGAUGUCCGGAGGUGGCGUCGACGAGCUGGUUGAUGCUUGGAAGAGAAAAGCUGUCCUUUGGGCAGGCCUUGAUCAGGUCGGUGUAGUCCACGCACAUGCACUUGGCUUUUUUUCACCAGGACAACAUUGGCAAGCCAAUCGGGGUAAGUGACCUCCCUGAUGAAGCCGACUUUGAAGAGCUUGUAGACUUCUUCAGCCACCACCUAUUGCCGGUCUGUUGCGAGAGUUCAUUUUUUCUGCCUGACAGGCUUAUAGGCUGGCUGCACCUUGAGUUGCUGGAUCAUCACCUCAGGGUCUAUUCUUAGCAUAUCAGCAGGCGACCAGGCGAACAUGUCAGUAUUGGCCCAAAGGAACUCGAUGAUACGAGCUUGCAUCUCUACACCCAGGCCAGAUCCGAUCUGCACGGUCUGCUCGGGUCGGUCAUCCCUCAAGGGAAUGUAGAGGAGGCGCUCGCCAGGUCCACCUCGUUGCUAUCUUGGUUCAUCCCGUACAUCCAACCCUUCAAUGGGUAGUGCUUGAGCCGGGAGCUCGGUCGACUGCUUCCCUUUGAGUGUAACCAUGUUACACUGCUUGGCUGCUAUCUGAUCUCCUCGGACUUUGCCGACUCCUCGACUUGUGGAGAACCUCAUGAGCAGGUGGUAGGUGGAAACCACAGCCCGAAAGGCUUUUAGUCCUGGUCGGCUAAGGAUGGCGUUGUAGGCCGAGCCGACCUUGACCAUGAGAAAGUUUAACUUCACAGUGCUCUCUCGAGGUGCACGCCUGGCCGUGAUUGGCAGGCCGAUGACUCCCUCUAUUGGCACGGAAUCUUCUGUGAACCCGACCAGAAGGUACUCAUUUUUUCAAGUUGCUCUGCCGUCAUUCCCAUUAUUUGAAAGAUAUCAUAAAAUAAGACGUCUGCAGAACUUUCAUUAUCCACCAAAACUCUUUUUACAUCGAAGUUUGCAAUGGUGAGAGAAAUAACUACAGCGUCGUCAUAGGGGUCUUAACACCCUUCAGUUCUUCAUCGAAGGAGAUAACUUCCGUAUUGCGCGAGUGCUUUGAGGAAGUUCCUUCUCCCAGAUGAUCCAGAGGAUCAGACGAGCCAUCAUACGACUCGAUCUGCGGCAUUUUAAACCUCUGAGGGAUCGGUUCGUCGACAACCCAUCGAGGGAAGGGAGACUCGGUUGUGAACUUGAGGUCGGCGUCCCGUUUUGGGGCUUGAUCUUGGAGCGUUUGGAUCUGUCGCUCUAACUCCUCGACUUUUCUGUCGAGCUCGGGCGGGGAUGUCAUCGCCUGCGGUCGACAGGGCCUCUUCGGCUCUUGGUCGGCACUGCAGGGUGCCCGUCCUAGGGCAGACCCCGCCUUUGAGGGUUGCUCCUGUGCUCGGGGCAUCAAACUUCGGUGCAAGCUCUCAAGAUAGUGGCUACGCGACGGGCCCUCCUGGCUUGGGGACCGAACUCGGCAGAAGCUUCGGUGGCAACAAUGCUUUACAAGAGAAUGACGCUGCAAGCGGCGUCCUGAAGACUCAUGCUCGUGAGGAGGGAGCACAGGCUGGUCUACUACUUGCUGCAGGCCUUGAACGACUGUAGUGAGUGCUUAGACUUGCUGGACAAGCAGGUUGAACUGCUCUGGCUGGACCUGAGAAAUUCGGUCCCCCGACUCUGCUGGGAGGACUUUGGAGCGAGUUGCUGGGAAUUGGUGCCCGGCUCCUCGAUGCAUUUGAAGCUGCUUGGCUCCUCAACUUCAUGUCCACGACUCGGGCCUUUCCUCUAGCGCUAGAUAUUGUGGUUCAAAUUUGGCCCAAGGGUGACCACGCCAGAGGAGUCGGAGAAUCUACCGGUUGAGACGAAGAAAAGAUGCCACCUCCCGCGCACCAGCGUACCUGCACAAAGCCUCACCGGUGUUUUCGGUGAGGGCCCUCCAAUGCUUAAGUUAGCGUGGAGUAUUUGUUGGCCAAAAAGUUCUUAGUUGUUACCUGAUGGGGUUAUUUAUAGUCUCCGCAAAGGUGCCCAAGUGGUGGAGGUAUGGCCUGUCCUCAUCAUGAGAGGAGAUGGCGCAAACCAGGUGACGUGCGACCACGGCUUGCUUGAGGCACAUGGUUUGAGCUGUCCCUGCGCGCGGUAUGACACUGGCAUGUGCCGUAGGGUAUGGCCCUUGUCAGCAGGCAUGGCUGGGGCAACAAUGUGUAGUCCUUUGUCGAUGCGUCUUAGCGUGGCCAUCAAGCGAAGCAUGGUGCGGUGAGGUUACCGCAGAGCAUGGCUGCGGCGCGUACUGGGUGAGGUUAGCUCGGCCAUUGGCGGGGAUCGAGAUUAGCUCGGCCUUCGACGGGGGCCGAGGUCGGCCUUGCCCGCUUGGCAGGGUGCUGAGGUUGGGCCAGUUUGGGGGCCACAAUAUAUGUUCGGUGAGGUCGGCUUGGCGAGUUCUGAGAUUGGCCUAGCCUUCUUGGCUUUGAAGUCUGCUCAGUAGGGUGCCCCGAGCUCGAGUCGGGGCAUCAUUGCCUACGAUCGACAAAGCCUCUUCGGCUCUUGGUCGGCACUACAGGAUGCCCUGACCUUGGGCCGGGGCGCGUCGUCAUUGUAGACUCCAGAGGAGGUUGCUGCAGGUCAUAGCAGCGGAGAGAUCUGGCCGAGGUCGGCUUGGUCGGCGUUGAGGUCUGCUUGGCCGGAACAGGGUGGUCCCCUAUCUUGAGCAGGACGAUCCAUUUUGUCCCCUAUUAGCUGUUAUUAUUUAUGAGGAGCAAAGGUUUGUAUGAUGAUGAUUACGAUGUGAUUCGAGGUUUAAAUAUUUAUUUAUGAGCACAUUAAAGGUAGUUGUACGUGCUGCAGCGAUGCUUGUGAACUACCAUCUUUCUUUUCAUUUUACUGAUUACUUCUUUAUUGUUCACCUUUCCCCCUUCUCGAGAUACAAUAUGAGCAAUAAUUAGUUAUAAGAAAUUAUAGUAUUCUGCAAUUAUUUGGAUGGAUGUGUUUCUUUAUAGCAAUCUAUCCAAGGUCUGUUGAACAGUGCCAAAUCGGCCGGUUAGGGGCGCAUCAAGCCGGACCGGUCGGUUAUCGGCACGGUUCAUUACCUCGGUUCAAAACGGAGGGAGAGGGAGGAGAGAGAGAGGGAGAGAGCGAGGGAGGGCUCGAAAGCCCUCGUUGAAAUUGGGGAUCCCUUUUUUAUUUUGCCGAUUUUGAAUAGAGGAUCCUCUAUUUCAACGAGGGCUUUCGAGUCCUCCUCUCUCUUUUCCUCUCUCUCCUUCCUCUCUGGCUUUCCCUUGUUGAUAUGCUUCAGAGCGGCAUGGUAUAGACCCAUACUAUGUCGAAUCGAUGCACCCUCUGGCACCAGUUUGGCGAACCUCGAUUUUUUUCUAUUGUUACUUUAACAUAAGUUGGCCUUGGACUGGAAUUAAUGGUGAAGUAGGUCUUGUAGAUAUCCUAAAAGUAAUGGAAUUAGAUGUGUUUAUAAUGCUUUAAUAAGUCAAACUAGCAUCAGGCAUGUACUAGUAUACCUGCUCUCAUAUGAUGGCUAUGAUUAAAUUGAGGUUACUUGGUCUUACUGAGGGUUUCUAAAUAAGCACUUCUGCAUUAUUGGAUUUGUAUUUAAUAUAUCUGUUUCCGAAGAGAGAAUAAUAUCUCAACAAAGUGGGAUCUUGUUGGUCAGCUUCCCAGAUGAUUACCUGGUACAACUCAGUUCUUUAGUUUAUAAUAACAAAGAUUUUCAAUGCUUCUCUUUGAUGCGUUUGCUUUUUAUUUUUGUGUGGUCUCUCAGGUUGUUGCUCACUUUAUUUGAUGCUGAAUUUAUCCCAUCUUGGUUGUGGAGCUGGAAGCUCUCUCUUCCCAUUUUUAGCAGCCUUUUCUGAUGUUUAUUGUGCAUGCUUGUGUUUUCUCACCUCUUGCAAUUGCACUUUGUUCAGGUAUGGACUUUUGCUAAUAUCAGCUAUUAGGACUUGGUCUUUUAAUACAGCUGAAGCCUUGGAGGGGUACUUCAGGAGCUUAACUUGGUAGACUAGUUUUCCCAUGUUUUGUCUUGUAAUUCCGAUGAUCCAUUCUUCUGUAACUAUCUCAUGAUUGAGUGAAAUGUGCCCAUAUGGAUAGAUCUAUAUUUGAAUGGAAAGUUUUGGUCUGAAGACAUUCUCUUGAGUGCUAAAAUUUUCUGUACUUGCUUCAAAUUUACAGCAAAAGAUCUGGUAGGGAUAGUUCUGCAUGGUGAGAAGGCAAGAAGUGGUUCAGGCCAAGGUUUGUCGAACUGGUACUGAGAUUCAGAAUUGUCCGGUUCCGUCAAUUUCCAGCUGGUUCCGGCCACAUCCAACCAGGUUCCGACCCCUAAGGGGUUGGAACCGUUUUUCAUUGGAGAACCGACCCGGUCGGAGUCUGGGUCCACUCAGUUCGGGUUCAUUGGAGAACCGACCCGGUCGGAGUUUGGGUCCGCUCGGUUCGGGCUAAACCAGCCGGUUCGGCUCGGUUCAGCAAUUAUUGGUUCAAGCAAAAGAUCUAGUAGCAAUAAUUUCGGCUAGCAAGAAGGCAAGUGGUGGUUCAGGGACUUUCACCAGGCUUUGCUGCGUGCUUUGUAAUGCUAACAAGGUUGAUUAGUACUACGAAACUGUGGUGCUGGUUUGAGUUGAUUAGACAUUGAUUUCCUAGAAUAUGCAGUUUUCCAAUUUAAGCAGAUUUUUUGGUAACUUGGAUUGUCGCAGUCUCUAAGUUUUUGUAGGGAAAAACUAGGCACAAACUUUUCCGAGUCCCUUAUAAUUUAUAACCUGUAGUCUUUAUAGCUGUUAAGACAGGUACUUUAUUAACCCAAGUAUCUUGCAGGGGAAAUAUGUAAUCAGAAAGCUGAUGUCUCGUUGGACAUCAACUGCAAGAUUCCUAUGUUCCUUGCUAGUUGUUGCCUGUCAGUAACUUACCAACAGUGCUUUACACAGCGCAAUACCUUGAUCGGUACUUCUGAGUUCUGACAUAAGUUUCUUAAAUGGUAAUUCCUUGUGUUUUUUUAAUUUUGUUGAUUUAUACUUGCUUUAUUCUCUUUUGAAAUUAAUGACAAAUUCACCCUCAUUUACUUCGAUAAUCGAGGUCUUUUGGAUGCUCUUCUUGAUUGUGUCUCCGCCUGAUUGAUGUUUGAAUGCAGGCUUUUUAUCACUUUUUGGUUAUGUUGAUGUAUGCUUGCUUUAUUCUUUUUUUAAAAUUAAUGACAAAUAUACUGUCAUUUUCUGUUGAUAAACGAGAUCGUCUGGAUACUCUUCUUGAUUGUGUCUCUGCCUGAUUGAUCUUUGAGUGCAGAUCAUCUGAUAAUUGGAUCAUUCCAGAUUCUUUUAGUGUUAAUUUUCUUCAAGAAUUAUAUCUGAUGAUGGGAUAUUUCAAGGGUCCUUUUGUCUGUUUUCACAGAUGACCCAAAAUUAGUCUGCACAUUUUAUUUGAAUGUUUCUUGGUGAAGCCUGCAAACACUGACCUUCCUGGUGAAGUCUUUUGAUGGUGUUGAGGGUUAUGGAGAUUUUCUUAUUAUCAGCAAGGGCCCAAGGGUCAUAAUUAAGCAAGGGAGGCCUUUACAUGGUAUUUGGAUUUUUUUUUGCAAUGGAAUUUAUAAGCCAAAAUUCUUUUUGUAAUGGAAUUUAUAAGCCAACAUGCUUUUUUUAUUUUUAAAUAUUGACUUUUCCAGAUGCCAAAGCAUGAGCCUCUUAGAUAAUUCAAAAAACCCUGUGAAUCUCACCCUUCAACUGGCUCUCUCUCUCUCUCUCUCUCUCUCUCUCUCGCCCCUGUCCUAUUCUCCCUGAUGCAAUUCUUUGAAUAAACAUGGUCUUGAGAAGUUUAUGCCUUUGGAAUUACUUAAUCUAUUAUUCUCUCUCUCUCAUGUACAUAGACAAAUGAUCAGGUUUUUGCACUGAACUGUACAAACUACAAAAGUCAAUCCUCUUUUGUGGUACAUCAGGCUUGCAUUUACUUUUAUUUUCAUAGUCAUGGUUUUUGAAUGUGGUCCUGCAACAUGCUAUCUUUGACAGAGGGCAUAUUGGUUUAAUAUCAAAUGUUUAAGUUCUUGUUCUGAACUUACAAAUGAAUAAAGCCUUUUGAAGUGCAGGAGGCCAAGAUUUAGAAAUUAAUUAGUUGUGGUACUGUAAAAUCUUAUUGCCAUUAUCAUACUUUUAGAAAAUGGUUACACAAUACCUUAGUGAGUUGUAGAAUUUUACCUGGAUUUUGAAUCCCCUGCUUGUUUAGCGAGAGAUGUUGGAGCUCACUCAUAUGUUUUGGUAGGUUCACCAACUUAGUUAAUUAAUGCUUAUGUCAUUAUUGAAGGAGAUGAUUACAUAUGUAUCUGAACUACUAAGUUCAAGAGGUGUUUUAUAUAUGGUUCUGCUCAAAGAAAUUUAUUAAGCUGUACUCACCUAUUGAAUAACACAGUAUUUUUCUUAUAAAAGAAUGGAUGACAUAAUAUUUCUGAGUAUUGAAUAUACAACUGGUACAUGAGAUUUAGCAUAUCUUGUGAUCACAAUUACCUGAUUCCUUUUAGAAUCUUGUAGUUUCUAAAUUGACAGGAACAUGGAGCUUCUCAUUGGGUGAAUGCUUUUGUUUGUGAUGUCAAAACAAAUGAUUGUGCAAGACAAUUAUGCCAACAUCAGUUUGAUGUCACCACUAGGGCAGUUGUUAACCAAUCUCACAUUCUCGCUAGUUGCAUACUCAGUAAAAGUUCCAAUUGAGCACUAUCUUACUCUUAAGAUUUCUUAUUUGCACUUCUCGCAAAUUAAAUCUGCCGCCCAAGGUUCGUCGAACCAGUACUGGAGGUGGUAACUGCUGGUGAUCAGUUCGGCACGGUAUAGAUCCGUACCGUAUUGCUUCGGGAUGUACCGAUACAAAGAGCCGGAGAGGGAGUAGAGAGAGGAAAAGAGAGAGAGAAGAGGGAGGGAGAGAAGGAGAGGGCCAAGAGGCUGUCAUGUCGAGUUGGACAAAGAGGGAGAGGAGUGAGAGGAAGAGGGAGAGAGGGAGAGGAUGGGAGGGAGAUACAUUGUCGUUCUAUAGUGGAAUUGGGAGAGGGAGGGAGAUAGAGUGAGAGAGAGAGAGGGAGGGAGAUAGAGUGAGAGGGAGGGAGGGAGAGGGAGAUAGAGGAAGGACAUAUCUCGUCGGCGGUGCAACAUCGUUUGGCAUCAUUGUCGAGCACCAGGGAUGGAAGCUCUUAGGGCUUCGAGGGAGGGGAACGAGCGUUACAAUCAAACCGAAAAAAAAAUAAAGCCAAAGGCACAGUGGGGCUGGGGUGAUUUAUAUAUCGAACCAUUUAAUUGAACCGUGCCGGGAGCCGACUCGUUUGAUUCGUUAUACCCUGAACCGGCCAGUUCAGCAUGGUUCAGAAGACCAUGCUGCCUCCUGUGUCAUCUCUUGUCUUUGGGGCCUACUUUUGCUUUUUCUUUUUUUCUUCCUAUUCAGCUUGUAAAACACCAAAUUUUCAUUGAGGAUGGUCAAGUCCUUUGGACAUGGUUCAAACACUAUAUGAUAUAUAUUUAAGUCUUAUGUCCUACUUAAUUUAACUCUUAGUUCUCCAUUUGUAGGAGGAUAUCAGUCUAGUCAGUCUUUACUGUCAGCCAGUGGCUCAGCAGCAUUGAUCUUUACACUCAGCUAAGGGCAUGUUACUUUUAUUGAAGAAUUAGCCAACCUGAAAUGGCUUGCGCAAGGCUUGAUGGCCGUGGUUGUGGUCUAUUAAAGUUUGGUGGUUAGCCAUCGGUGGUCAUUGAUGUCUCCAACAGAGAGUCGAAUGGUAGUAUUCUUUUUUUCAUCAACAAUCAGCAGCAAGUCGGUGUUGAUUUCGAUAAUACUCUGGGCACUUCUAGAGUUUAUUCCCCACCACUGAAUAUGAGGUUUGUGUGUUUAGCACUUCUUUUAUUUAUUAUCUUCUUUUAGUUUUGGGCAAUCUAAGCUACAAUUUUUGAUGACAGCUCUCUAAGGUUUGUGAAAGUAUUUGCUCAUCUGCUUAAGUGGGUAAUUUGAUGAGUAGUGUGAUUUUGGAAAAGUAUUUAUAUUUAGAUAUUCACUUUUGAAUGUUCUCUUAUGUAAGGAGUUGAAGGCGCGAUCCCUUUUUUGAUGUGUUUUACAUGUGCAUCUUACUAAUAUAGAAAAUGCAUUAUAAGGAUCAUCUAGCAAGAUCACUGAAUACAUAAUCUUCCUCAAUAGAUCAUUAUGCUGUUGUUCCCCUAAGCAAAGAAAACAUUGCCCUUCAACAUAGCAAGAUCACCGAAUGUGUAAUCUUCAUAAUUUAUAUCAUUGUUGUGUUGCUCCUUGUUUGGUGCAAACAUUCCCUUUCAAUAAGACUCCUGUAUGUACAAACAGCUGAGAGUCAUCUUCAAUAAGGCUCUCUGGAGCAGGUCCCUUGUAUCUGUAUUAUUUUGGAGCUUUAAAAGGAGUCAUCUUCCUCCACUUCUGUUUUGAGCCAGAGUUUCUACUGAUUGCUCUCAGAUGCUGCUUGUCUAAAGGUCAAUAAAUGAAUGAACCAUGUGACUUCAAGCUGAUACAACCCAGAAAUGUCAAUGGAACUAGUGACAUCGAAUUGUGUUGAUGCAUUCUAAUAUUGGAAAUGAACCUUGAUUUCAAUGCCCAAGCAAAGUGCAUGUGUCAAUGAAACUUGUGACUUCACGGCUACAAUUUACAGCUGUAGAUAUUUCACGAGCUCCAUGAAUUCUGGUUUUAUUCACCACCUAAAUGGCCUGUUAGGUUUCCCUGCGGAUUAGGUUUCUUGUGGAACUGACACCUUACACCACUUUGGUACAUUCUGUACAUCAAGAUUCAGCAACUGAUGUAAAAGUAUGUUAUGAUGUACAUUAGAUUUUCAGGAAAAUGCAUGUGUUGGUGAAACUGUUUAAUUGGUUUUGGAGUUAUCAAAAUCUGCAUUAUCUACUAGGGAAUCUUAGGAUAUUUAGUCAUCUCUUGAUUUGUCUUCGUAGGAUCUGCAGGAUCUAAUUCUCUCAGAAAAAUGUUUGCAGCCUCCAUGGUUGCCAGUUCAAAGGGACAAAUAGGAAGGUUCUACAUCAGCUGAGUGACUUUGUUUGAUUUGGUUUUUCAACUUAUGAUAACAUCGAUCAUUCAUGAAAUGUUGACAACCACAAAGGUUGCAGAUUAUCCUUCCUCUCCAGUCAAUCGCUUGCAGGUACAUGCCAUUUGAUCCUAUAUUAGUACUGCUGGGGGAAGGGCAGAGUUGCGAACUCCUAGCAUUAGGUAAAUGUAAUCGGACAAACCAUAAGAGGGUGGAUGGGAUUAAUAUUGAAAGGCAUCGUCUGCUUUUACAAAAGAUUAAAAAAGCCAAAGACCUAACUCAUGCUUUUUGUUGGUUGAUGGGUCAAAGCCACCUACAAAAGCCUCCUUGAAUCAACUGACCAGGGAUCAUAUAGAUAUUUUAUAUCCUCAACAUAUUUGCCUAUAAAGUCUGCAAACUCUGCUGGUUGCCUGGUUAUAUGAGGCUUGACACUUGGGGACUACUUAUAUAAUUCUAAUACUAGAAUUCUGAUAUUAUGGGCCAACCAGGGACUACUUAUAUAAUUCUAAUAUAAUGUGAAUUAUGAGAGAUACACAUAUGAACAAAUCUGACUGUAUUCUAGAAAAAUAAAAAUACAACGGUCUUUUCAGCAAAAUGCUUUAUUACAAGUUAAAAAUGAACUCAUAGAGUCAUAGAUAAUGUAGGGUUACCCAAGAGAUUUUUAAUUAAAAUAAAUCCUUGGCCCAUCUUGAGCUUGACCUUGUUUCUGGUUUCAUCCAUCUCCAAUCGCCGACGACCUCCACAUGGCCUGAAUCUGGCAUGCUCGGAUUUCACUUGUGGCGCGCCAUCUCUACUAUCAUUUCUUCAAGAUCGGGUGCUUCUUGGAGUUGCAGUACAGUGUGGGAGCCUUUGUUCUCUUCUUUGCCCCUCACAAAUCAUGCACCAGAACUUGAUGCCCUCGCCAUCUUCCUUCUAUCUCCCUUCUACAAUCGCCCUUUUUUUUGAUCUCUAAUCCCUCUUGUUCCCCUAAAUGCUUUGAGCACGUUAGGAAUUAGCAGAAUAGCCCACGCAUCACAACACGAUAUAUGCAUGAAAAAGGAGAAUAAGAGGCAUCUACAAGAAUUGAAGGUGAAGGAACAAGAAGAAUAUCAAACCUUGCAUGUCGACAAAUAAAAGAGAAGAAGAUCCGCGGCUGGCUCUGCAAGAUCAAGGAGGUUGAUAGAGAUACGGUUACAUCCUUGCCGAGCACCCCAAAACAUGGCAUUACCGAAUGCUUGUACAGCCCCCUUCUCUUGCUUUUGGAUCCUUGUCAGAAGAGAAGGGUCGGUAUGCCCCUUAGCCCUUCUUUGGGCUACUCUAGCGAUCAUGCUCUUCUUGCAUCUUGUCGGAGCUGGGUGGCAGUCCGAUCACCUAGUUAGGUGGUCCAUGUGCACUGCCAUGGGCUAUUGGAGGCUGUAGAGGGGGAUUGGAUGGAUGAAGCCACUCAAGGAUGCCUCUCAGUUCUGCAGGGGUAGGGGGUAGAGUUGCAGGCUCCCAACAUUAGGUAAGGGUGGCAUGGGACAAAACAUAACAUGGUGGAUGGAAUCAAAUUGAAGGAUUUCAAAAAUGGGGAUGCGUGCACGCCAGGGUGGGGCGGUGUCCGGCUCCGGCAUCUUCCCUUUGCCGAUGAACUUAUUUUUACUUAUAAGGCUUCCUUAGCCAUUGCUUUUAUAGAGUUUCCUUGGAGCUUCGAGGUUGUUCGAUUUUAAAUGCACAUAAUGGUUCGCAAUUUCUUGCAUGAUCUGGAAGGUUCGAGCAUUUAUGUAUUUUCCUUUGCAGCACAUUCCUUAUGCAUGCAGUUGUUCAAAACCUAUAUUUUCUUGCAGUUCCAAGAUUAUUCAAUUUUAAAUGCACAUAAUGAUUCGAAAUCUUGAACAUGAUCUUGAAGGUUCAAGAGAAACACCACUUCUCAAGUAAAGGAAAUUGCAUUUAUGUAUUUUUCUUUGUAGCGCAUCCAUGAUGCACAUUGUUCUCCAAAACAUAAUAUUUUCUUGCAGUUUCGGGAUUAUUCGAUGUUAAAUGCAUGUAACAACUUGAAAUAUCUUGCAUGAUCUCGAAGGUUCAAGGGGUAUGUCCUUUCUCAAAUAAAAGGAAUUGCAUUAAUGCAUAUUUCCUUUUUGGCACAUUCAUGAUGCACAUAAUUGCUCAGAAUCUUUUGCAUGACCACAAAGAUUUGAGAGAAUUGGCAUUUCAUAUGGAAUUGCAUUUGUAAGUUUCUAGUGGCGCACAUAAGCAGAAUUGCAUAAACUUCGUACAUACAGAAAUCUACUGAUGAGUGUGUAUGAUUGAUCUUGAUGCUUCGAGAAUGUUCAUGUAUUAUUAUUUUGCAUCUGUAAUGGGUGAAUAGAGGGGGAGCCUUGGUGCUAUGAUAAGAUUGCUCCAUUGUGACCGAGAGGUCAUGGCUUCAAAACAUAGAAACAACCUUUGCAUGUAGGGGUAAAUUUGCAUAUAGCUGACCCUCCCUAGACCCUACAAUAGUAUUGGAGCCUCAUGCAUGGGGCUGCUCUUUUUUUACCCAUAAUCUUUGACAUCUCUGUGCCAGGUGUAGAGCUGCAGGCGGCCUAGAUCGGAUUAUGCCACGCCAGGCGAGCAUUCCAGGCUACCUUGAUCAUAUUGGAGGGUGACUCAGCCACCGUAAUUAGUUGGGUCCAAAAAGGCCCGAGCAGAGGAGGAAGGGUACAUCCCUUACUUCGAGAUAUUUGGGAUAUGGUGAGUGAUGUAGUAGCCUUUCAGGCUAAACAUGUGUAUCGAGAGGCCAACGGAGCUGCGGACUAGGUGGCGGCGUAUGUUGCGUGCCACUUAGGAGACUCUCUAUGGGCAAGGGAGAAGGGAUUGCCUAGGGCACUGUCUGACUUAGUUUUUGCAGAUUCUACUGGGUGUAUUCAUUCACGUAAUAUAUAAAAUACCCGUUUUAAGCAAAAAAUAAAAAAUAAAUAAAUAAAUAAAUAAAGGCUCCAUUCUACUAUACGGUGGUGAGACUACCCCAAAUUCAAGCCGGGAUAGGUACUUAAUGAAAGGGAUUUGUUUCAUGAUUCAUCGACUAGGGAAGAUUGUGUUUGACUGAUUCUUUUCUCAGUUUUGUUUUUGACCCAAAAGUCAACAUUUUUCCUUGAGCAAUAUGUUUGAUAACUAUAGGCUGCAUAAUGACAGAUUUUAUCUUUAUAAGGGCUAAAAAUUCCCAUGUGUAAUGAUCUGUUAACAGUAACUCUAGUGAUUAACUAAGUGUUUACUGUAACAAUUUUAUUUUUAUUUAUUUAUUUUUAUGGUGAGCAGUGCCUCUUACGGAUCAUCAUUUAUCUACCAACCACAUUACGUUGUAAAAUUGUUUACCAAAUUAUCCAGUAAGAAGUGAUUGGGAAGAAAUUACUUGGUCAACUUUAGUGUGAUACAUACUAUGGUCCUUUCAUCUUGUGUUUUUUAUAAAUGGUCUGAUAUCAAUUGAUGAUACUAAUGGAUUUUUUAAAGAUUAAGUUAAUGUUAUGAUUACUUGAUAGCGGUAUCAAUCUGGUAUCAAUCUUUUUUGCACCUCUUCUCAAAAGUCAACAUCUUUUCUGUUUUUUUUUCUUGUCAGACAAAUUCAAUGUUCAAUUUUUUCAAUUACACCUCUUUUCUGUUUUUUUUUUGUCAGACAAAUUCAAUGUUCAAUUUUUUUCAAUUACACCUCUUUUCUGUCUGUAAAUUACUUCUUAUAUUAUCAGGUCCUAUUUUAAUAAUACUUGUAGUUAAGCAUUUGCCACAAAGCCCAGCUUUGACAAGAGUAUUAAUUGCCAACACUAGCUUUAAGCAUGGAUCCACUUGUUUUCUAUGAUACUAGGUACUCCCAGAACUGGCUCUCAAAUCUUAUUGUUCAUCUAGAAAUCACUUAAGCAUGCAAACAACACCUUCACAUAUCCCUUCAAUCUUGAAACUGCAUAACCCUUAAAUAGCUUUCACAAUUUGCCAUCAUAACCAAGCAGGGCUAGUUAUUCUUCUUUUAAUAUUUAGCAUAAACUGUAUGGACUAUAGAUAUAUUGCUUAACUCUUGUUUCCUUGAGCCAGAUAGAAGGCGAUCAUCAUAGUAUACAACCAUUUUCUAAAAACAACUCAUGACAAGGCACAACUUGAACAUUUACUUCUGCGAAUCUCCAUGUCCAAUGAAAGUUCUGCUUGUAGAAAGGUCCAUAUUAGGCAUGAGACCAUCGGUUUAGUUAUAGAAAUUCCCCUAAGUCCUAUCCUAUUAUGUGAUAUCUUUAUUUUCUUUUUAAUUAAUCUAGGAGAUGGUUAAUGAGAACCGACCACAUUCCUCUCCUGGAUGUUUCAAAACUCCUGACAAAAGAAGGAAAGAAGUGAUAGAAGUGCAAUGUAUUCUUAAAUAAUGAAAAAAAUGUAAAAUAUCCUUAUCUAAUGAAAGAAUUAGAAUAAUCUUUAUUUUCCUUCUAGUGAACCACACAUAAUACUUGUAUAAAGUUGAAUCUGUUAUUUUUCAGUGCAUUGCUUAACAUAUAAUGUCACUUCUGAAUAUUGAAGUCUGCUAUUCAUGAUAAGCAGGGCCAAAGGGACAGAGAUAAAGACUAAAACAUGGAGACACAGACAAGAGAGUGAGCAACGGAGAAUAUUCCUCCUCAAGCCAUCCACCUGACUGAAUCAGCCAGCUCCCAGAUGAAAUCAUCUUCCGCAUUUUCACCAUCCUUGCCUCCCGCAGCUCCCUAAUUGAGAACGUCCAUAUUGCUGUCAGUAUCUUCUACAUAUACACUGACUCCAACCAAAUCCUCCACUCAAUCUGUGGGGUUGGACCCUUCAUGCUAAGCACUCCAUCAUCUACUUCAUCCUGCUCCCAUUAGCUGACUUGUAGCUGUAUCCAGUUGGAUGGGUGGACCUGCUCGGGGAUGCGCUUCUGCUUUGAUGUCAUCUCUUCUAUUUGGUCCCCCUUGGAGCUGGGAGAGGGGGUGGAGUUGCAGACUCCCAACAUCACAUAAGGGUGGCAGGAGAUAAACCAUUAGAUGGUGGUUGGAAUCAUAUUGAAGGUCUUGAACCAUGGCAAUGCCUGUUCACUAGGGCAGAGCUACAUUUUGCUCUCGUAUCCCCCCUUUGCUAAUGAACUUAUCAGGUUGCAGGUAAGGCUUCCCUAGACUGUGCUUUUAUAAUAUAUUCUUUCAGUUCAGUUAGAGGUUGUUCAAUUCUUAAUGCACUUAAUGGUUUGAAAUCUCUUGAAUGAUUGUGAAGGUUUAAGAGAAUUGAGUGUUUCACGCAUAGAAGGAAUUGAAUUUUUAUAUUUCUCGUUCUGGUGCAUUCAUGAUGCACAUAAUUGUUGAAAAUAUGGUGUAUGCUUGCGAAGUUUGAGAUAAUUGGUGUUUCAAGGAUAAACGAAAUAGCACUUAUAAAUUUUGCCUUUGGACAGAAUCAGCAGAGUUGCAUAAAAUUUUGUAUAUACAUAAGCUAAUGAUGAAUGUGCAUGAUUUUCUUGCUGCUUCGAGAAUGAUUUUGUCUUACUGAUUUGUGUCAGUAAUGGGUUUUGAAUGGUCAACUUAUUCGCAAUAGAAUAAUGGAUAAAUGGUAUUACAAAUGUAAGAUUCUGCUUUUUGUUUAAUGCGACCCUAUAGUACCAUUCAACUGUGGAAAUUGCUCAUUGUGAAGAUAAUUAAUUCUUAGGCUCUAAUUUUGCAUGUUCAGAGUUAUAUUCAAAUGAUAAUCUAGUCAAACUUCACAAGGAUACUGUUAGCAGACUAAUUCUUGAGCAGUUCGCAUGCACUAAUGAAAUUGACAGGUUGGUUUCAGAAUGAUUUUAAAUUGGUAUUUAAGGUAAAUCUGACAUCAUCUACUAGCAGCUUAAAUCACAUGCAUAAAAAAAUGUCAGUUUAUUAUGCAUUCCCAUAAAAAAAAUUGAUUGAAGUACUGUAGGCCCAAUCAUUUUAUUGAUUAAAUCAGAACUGUCUGUCGUAUGUUUCUCUUGUUUUAACCAUUCAUUGAUAGCAAAACCUGAUUUCAUACUUUAAUCAUUGAAUGCACUACAACUUCUAGUCAUAUUAUAGAGUAGAACUUGGGAGGCAUAACGCUUGGAAAAGCUAUAUCUCCCUUGUUUAAGCACAGCAUAAUUAUUUCCAAUAACCAUUGCUACUGUCUAAGCACCGUUACGGAGGAGCAUUUCUUCAUGGUUGGGGGCACCACGCCCACCUGGUUGUACACAAUAGGCAUAUUAAAACUAGAAGAGUCUUGUUAAGAAAAAAAAAAUAAUAAAAGAAGACUAUCCCAAACCUUCUGCAUGCUAGUUGAGGUAUGACAUUUGCGAACAAUUGGAUCACUAGGAAAGAUUCAUAGUUGGGGGAAAAAUAUAGCAUUUCAAAAGUGAGAAAAGAAUUUGGAGUUUGAAAAAAUUAGGGAAACAAUAAAAAAAGGAAUGUUGAUAUAGUUUAUCAUUUGACAUAUUUAUAAGCAUGAGAAAAAGGGAAAAGAUAGUAACAACAAUGACUACAUGGCAGAACAAUAGAUAAAAUUAUGAAUUUGCAAUCUAAAAUUCUUUCUUGCACAAAUUGUGAAUAUUUCAUAGUAUUAUUGAAUCAUUAAACUUAUCCAAAUAAACAUUUUGGAGGAUAUUAUUAUUGCGCCACAUGCCGCACAGAAGUGGAAGAAAACACAUAAAUACGCACGCACACACACACACAUACAUACAUACAUAUAUGUAUGUAUAUAUAUAUGUAUUUAUUUUGGAGGAUAUUAUAUAUAUAUAUAUAAGACCCAUUGUAGAAAAGACGAGCAAAGAAGAACAAAUGUAGAAAAAAGGUAUCUGUGGCUUUGUGGAUCAGGCAAAAUACUUCCUAGUUUUCUCCUUGAGAUUGAGAAUACUGCUUGGGAGCUCGUUAAUGUUCCACUAGCGCACUUGGUCAUAGCUCAUCAAGUUUCAGAUACUCGAUGAGCUGCUGCCCUAUUGGUGUUAGAGAUCAAGUUUUGAGUGCCCACAUAAGCUUGACAAAGCUUGGGAGCUUCUUUCCUACCUUCUGCUCUUCUUGUUCCAACAACCCAUGAAUGACCUUCCCCCUAUUUCUUUCCGGUGAAAGUUCUACCAUGUACAAAGUUUUUGAGAGGCUUGAAAGGCUCUUCUCACGUCUUUGAAGUGGUUGAGAAAUAAUAUGAAGGUCUCUCAGCGCAAGGGAGAGGUGAAGGUAGGUGCUUACAACUUUCGGUAUGGAUGAUAUGGAACUUCUGGGGAGGGGGUAGAUCACAUCGAAGGGUUUCAAGGAUGUUGAUGCGCACCAAGGGUGGAGAGGAGGAAAAGGGGGAGGCAUUGGCUCUAGCUUCUAUUUUUCACCAAUAUAAUGUUCAAACUCAUGGUGAUAAUGCCUCCCAACCUUCUGCUUUUACAAUAGUCCUUGUGAAAUUUGCGCGGACAUUCUAGACUAUUUAAUUACUGUGUUUUGCUUUUAUGGCUAGUUCCUUGUGAAUUUACUCAUGCAUUCUAGAUUAUUUGGUUAUUAUGUUUUGCUUUUAUAGAAUUUACUUGUGAAUUUACUCAUGUAAUGUAGACUAUUCUAUUAUGUUCUUUUGCUUAUUCAGUAGUUCCUUGCAAAUUUGCUAGCACAUUCUAGAGUAUUCAGUUAUUAUGGUUGUACAAAAAUAAUUGUUCAAAAUCUCCAUUAAAGAAAUUGCAUUAAGAAUUUACAUUGUGAUGCAUCUGUAGAAUUGUGUUAAUUUUGUACAUUCAGAUCCUAUUGAUAAUGCAUAUGAAAGAUUUUGAUACUUUGAUGAUCUAUGUGUUAUAACAAUUUGCAUAUAUAUGAUUUUCAAAUGGUAUCUUAUUUGGAUACAAUCAUGAAUGUAGAUGGUUAUAUGUUUUGAUGCUAAAGCAAUGAACUGAUGGAAGUAGUGGAUUCAUGCUAGUACGGUCUGUAAUGGUAAUUAGGAUACAAAUAGAAGUUUUAAUCAUGCUUAUUAGGGAAUGACAGGGUUUCCUAAUUAGAGGCUAACCUGGAACCAACCCAAUCCAAAUUAGUUCCAAUUUUUGGACCGAAAACUGAACAAAUCAAUGCCAUGACUGUUACUAUCUUUUAAAAUUAGCCCUCUCCAAUUUUCUUGUCAUAUAAUUGAGAUACUUAUAAACUUGCAGAUUGUUUAAGCUUUGUAAUUUAUCCAUACUCAUGUAUCACUGACACUAAGUUUUGACAUCAGCUAUAAUACUGGUUAUUGACGUUAUUACAAGCAUAAAUAAAACUUGUGAUUUCCUAAUUUAUUUGGGCACAUUCAUUUGACCAUAUUAGACCAUUACUGUGUGAUCUGCCAAAAAGAACUCAAAUUGUAACCUUUUCCACUAAAUUGUGCUUCUUCAUGUGCUAAAUCUGAUAUAAAUGUGCAAUAAUAGAUUACUUUGGAAGAUCUUCUAGUGCAUUUUUUUUACAAUCUGGAACUUGUUUAAAACUUGUUUUCAAUUUAGUUAUGACAUCCUAACAAUUUUCCUUUCUUCUUUUUGGAAAAAACUUCGAUUCAAUAACUUUUUGAUUGACAGGCUUUCUUCCUUGCUGUGGUCUGCAAAGUUUUUUUUUUUACUUUUUGGAUUGAGAGAGGGAGGGAAGUGCCCAUUAGGUUCAAAUACCCAGGACUUGGAAACAAAACCUUGAAUUGCUAAGCAGAGGGUGUUACCGCAGAGGCAACCCCAAUUCACACAAUACAACUGAUCUUUGAACACAAAGUUUCACCUUACUGAACAAUUGGUUUAUGUAGUGUUAGGGCUGCGCAUGGGCGGGUUAGGUCUUGUUAAAAGCAAACCCUAACCCAAUCAACCCAGUCUUGGGCUGGGAGUUUUCUAGCCCAACCCUGUCUCAAGUUGAAUUUGGGAUUCAUCAAUUGAGGUGGGCUGUGCCAUGUCAAUUGGGGUAGAUUGGAUUAAAUAUAAAUUUUAAGAUAGAUUAAUAGAAAAAAGGGUUAGGACGUUCUUUUUGGAUUAAUAUUUGUUGAUUUAGGCUCAGCCUUCGAUCAAAUCUGAUGGUGCGGUUACAAAUAAUUUACCAAAACUAAAGAUAUAAGUAUGCGAACAUAUAUAUAGAUAUGAGUUGCAAAUAUAAAAUAUGAAUUAUUUAUUUGUAUCACUGGUUGGGUUGGGUUAAGUCCAGCUAGGUAGGGUUUGUGUUGGGUUUAGGUAGGGUUAAGGGUCAACCUUAACCCAACCCCACCUCUUAUUUAUAUACUGGUUUGGUUCGGUUAAGUCCAGCUGGGUGGGGUUUGUGUUGGGUCUAGGUAGGGUUAAGGGUUAACCUUAACCCAAACCCACCUCUUAUUUAUAUACUUGUUGUGUCGGGUUUAGUCCGUUAGGUCGGGUGUGGUUUGGGUUAGUGUUUGGUUUAGGUUAAAGGUCAACCUUAAUGCAACCUUACUUGAGGUUUGGUUGGGAUUUUUGAAUCCAUGCACAACUGAAAUUUUUAAAACUUCAGUGUAGCUCUACUCAGUGAGUGGGUUAAGUAGGCAGGUUUGAGUUGAUUCCAAUCCAAGUUGCAUCCCUCAGUAAUGUACACAGUGUGUCAUCUUCCGUUGAGGCAAUAUUCAUGUCCAAAAGUCAAAAGAAGAAGAAGAAGAAUGGUGAACCUCCUGGAUCAGCUUGACGCAAUCCUUAAAUGGUUACUGAUACCAACUUAAAGCUGUUUAAGUUCCAAGCAAGUUAUCUUGGAAAUGAACAUUGUUUUAGUGCUUCAACAAUGUGCCUCAACUUGGUGAGUCAUGGUGCUUGAUGAAUUAUGUGGUUCAGUAGGCUACGUUACAGAACUAUUUGUAUUUUUGUAAAAUCAAAAUUUCGGACUCGCAAUAAUACAGCCUCUAAUUGUAAUUGUACCAUGUUAUGUGUACAAAUAGAUGAUUCUAGGAACGGAUACUUGAGCAGUA